rnacentral:rRNA from 1 species
CCCCUACGGGAGGCAGCAGUGAGGAAUAUUGGUCGAUGGCCGAGAGGCUGAACCAGCCAAGUCGCGUGAGGGAAGACGGCCCUACGGGUUGUAAACCUCUUUUGUCGGGGAGCAAAGCGAACCACGUGUGGUUCAUUGAGAGUACCCGAAGAAAAAGCAUCGGCUAACUCCGUGCCAGCAGCCGCGGUAAUACGGAGGAUGCGAGCGUUAUCCGGAUUUAUUGGGUUUAAAGGGAGCGCAGGCGGCGCGGCAAGUCAGAUGUGAAAGCCCGG